AAAAGUCGUAACAAGGUUUCCGUAGGUGAACCUGCGGAAGGAUCAUUAACACGUAUCCAAACGUUAAACCCCCCCCGUGAACCUUCAUCGUGCUCUAGUGGGCCACUGAUAAACACUUUGCCAAAGGGUCCCCAUGCCCCUUCCUUCUGCCGAUUUCACAUACAAAGCUCCAUUUUCAAUUAUGGAUGGGGUAAAACCGAACAACUGUUAACAAUGGAUAUCUUGGUUCUC
rnacentral:misc_RNA from 1 species